rnacentral:rRNA from 1 species
ACGGAGGGUGCGAGCGUUACCCGGAUUUACUGGGCGUAAAGGGCGUGUAGGCGGUCUUUCAAGUCCGAUGCUAAAGUCUGGGGCUCAACCCCAGGACUGCGUUGGAUACUGUGAGGCUAGACGGUCGGAGGGGGUAGCGGAAUUUCCGGAGUAGCGGUGAAAUGCGCAGAUACCGGAAGGAACGCCAAUAGCGAAGGCAGCUACCUGGACGACUUGUGACGCUGAGGCGCGAAAGCGUGGGGAGCAAACCGGAUUAGAUACCCGGGUAGUCCACGCCCUAAACCAUGAGUGCUGGGUGUCCGGCUUCUGCUGGGUGCCGUAGCUAACGCGCUAAGCACUCCGCCUGGGAAGUACGCACGCAAGUGUGAAACUCAAAGGAAUUGACGGGGGCCCGCACAAGCGGUGGAGCAUGUGGUUUAAUUCGAUGCAACGCGAAGAACCUUACCAGGCCUUGACAUGCCCGGAACCCCUCCGAAAGAAGGGGGUGCCCGCAAGGGAGCCGGGACACAGGUGCUGCAUGGCCGUCGUCAGCUCGUGUCGUGAGAUGUUGGGUUAAGUCCCGCAACGAGCGCAACCCCUAUCCCUAGUUGCCAGCAGCUCGGCUGGGCACUCUAUGGAGACUGCCUGCGAAAGCAGGAGGAAGGCGGGGAUGACGUCUGGUCCGCAUGGCCCUUACGGCCUGGGCGACACACGUGCUACAAUGCCAAGGACAAAGCGCUGCUACCUCGCGAGAGGACGCCAAUCGCAAAAACCUUGGCUCAGUUCGGAUUGGAGUCUGCAACUCGACUCCAUGAAGCCGGAAUCGCUAGUAAUCGCGAAUCAGCCAUGUCGCGGUGAAUACGUUCCCGGGCCUUGUACACACCGCCCGUCAAGCCAUGGAAGUGGGUUCUGCCUGAAGUCGCCGGUAGCCUUGGGCAGGCGCCGAGGGCCGGGCUCAUGACUGGGGCUAAGUCGUAACAAGGUAGCUGUACCGGAAGGUGCGGCUGGAUCACCUCC